AGUGAACGCUGGCGGUAGGCCUAACACAUGCAAGUCGAACGGCAGCACAGUAAGAGCUUGCUCUUACGGGUGGCGAGUGGCGGACGGGUGAGGAAUACAUCGGAAUCUACUUUUUCGUGGGGGAUAACGUAGGGAAACUUACGCUAAUACCGCAUACGACCUACGGGUGAAAGCAGGGGAUCUUCGGACCUUGCGCGAUUGAAUGAGCCGAUGUCGGAUUAGCUAGUUGGCGGGGUAAAGGCCCACCAAGGCGACGAUCCGUAGCUGGUCUGAGAGGAUGAUCAGCCACACUGGAAAUGAGACACGGUCCAGACUCCUACGGGAGGCAGCAGUGGGGAAUAUUGGACAAAGGGCGCAAGCCUGAUCCAGCCAUACCGCGUGGGUGAAGAAGGCCUUCGGGUUGUAAAGCCCUUUUGUUGGGAAAGAAAAGCAGCAGGUUAAUACCCCGCUGUUCUGACGGUACCCAAAGAAUAUGCACCGGCUAACUUCGUG
rnacentral:rRNA from 1 species